GACAGAGGCCUCGAGCGUUAGGCGGAAUCACUGGGCUUAAAGCGUGUGUAGGCGGAUCGUUAAGUGCCUUGUGAAAUCCCACGGCUUAACUGUGGAACGGCUGGGCAUACUGGCGGUCUUGAGCCAUCUAGGGGCGACUGGAACAAACGGUGGAGCGGUGAAAUGCGUAGAUAUCGUUUGGAACGCCAAUGGUGAAAACAGGUCGCUGGGGAUGCGCUGACGCUGAGGCGCGAAAGCGUGGGGAGCAAACGGG
rnacentral:rRNA from 1 species